GCCGCCAUGGUGAAAUUGGUAGAC
rnacentral:tRNA from 216 species